CAUUAGAUGGCUGAAAGUAAGUUUUGGUCUCUUAAACCAAAUUAUAGUAAAUUAACAAUUACUUCUAAUGA
rnacentral:tRNA from 1 species